CACGGAGUCACAGGCCACCCAUAUCGGGUCGGAUUUCAUCAGUACCCGAUAUGCGACAUCUUAAUAUCCACUAACCUUCAAACCCUGAACCCUAAAAUCAAUCAAAACCCUAAAUUGUAUUGAAAAUUAUUUCAUCAUCAGAUCUCCUCCAAUCUCGCAAUGGCUGCAAGAUGCAACAGAUUCAUUAACAAAGCUUCAAUUUCAAAUCUCAAAUCCGCUUUUCGGUCCGCCUCUGUUCCCAAAUCUGCCCCUUCAUCCCCAAAGUUUCCCCUUCCAACCGCCUCACCGGCCCCUCGCUUUUCAAUUUCAAGGUGUCCAUCAGAGCUUGGAUGUGUGCAGUCACUAUUACCUCUGCAUAAUGCGGUUGCUGCAGCGAGAUUGACAUCCUGCUUGAGCACUACUUCAAGGAGUUGCAGAUCUCUUUCACAGGGUACACUCUGCCGUACCUCUCCUGGCCUCUAAUAUGUUUUGUGUUAUUUUACAGCACAUAAUUUUCUCAAUGCAUGAAAGAAAUGAACUGGGAUUUACAAGACCUGUCUUCGUGUCAAAUGAAUUUGAUGGAACGUGAUACGUUAUGCUGUUUCUAGAGGCGGGCUUGCUUCAUCGUGCUAAUAAGACGGAACUCUACUUGGAUUAUAUAUAUUUAAUUUAAUUAUUAUCGACGUUCACAAUUCAUAGGAAGUAAAACAAUUAGAUAGAUUCACAAGGAUAUUUUAUUUUAUGUUUUUUUUUUUUUUUUUACCUUUUUGCAUGACAUUUUGGUUGUAAAAUGACUACAUAGAAGGUGGUAUCCGUCUCUGAUAUGGGUUCUUUUUGUUUGAACUAGAGCUGGGUUUAUCGGUUCCAAGGUGACCCGUUAGCAGGCCGAAAUCAUUGAACAAGAAGGCAGGUUCUGUAAUUCAUCCCAGUUAUUUUUGCAGUUCAUAAAAGAUGGCUGAACUACAACAAGUCAUGCAUUAAGAUGUUUAUUACAUAAUACAACUUUAAGAUGUUUCUUGUGUUGACAUU